UCGAGGAUUAUUCGCAAUGGGGGAAACCCUGACGAUGCGACGCCGUGUGAACGAAGAAGGCCUUAGGGUUGUAAAGUUCUUUCGCCUGAGAACAAGGCUUAAUUGUAAAUAAUGAUUAAGUCUGAGUGUAUUAGGUAAAGAAGCACUGGCUAACUCCGUGCCAGCAGCUGCGGUAAUACGGAGGGUGCAAGCAUUAAUCGGAUUAACUGGGCGUAAAGGGCGCGUAGGUGGCUUUAUAAGUCCUGUGUGAAAUUCUACAGCUCAACUGUAGAGCGGCAUGGGAAACUAUAUGGCUAGAGGCUAAGCGGAGAAAAUGGAAUUCCACAAGUAGCGGUGAAAUGCGUAGAUAUGUGGAAGAACACCGGAGGCGAAAGCGUUUUUCUAGCUUAGAACUGACACUGAGGCGCGAGAGCAAGGGGAGCAAACAGG
rnacentral:rRNA from 1 species